rnacentral:rRNA from 1 species
AGAGAGGAUACGUUUGGAACGAACGCUAAUACCCUAUAUGCCUUUAAGACAUAUGUCUGCAAGGGAAAUAUUUAUAGCUCUAGGAUGAGACUGUACGGUAUCAGUUAGUUGGUGAGGUAAUGGCUCACCAAGACAAUGACGCCUAACUGGUUUGAGAGGAUGAUCAGUCACACUGGAACUGAGACACGGUCCAGACUCCUACGGGAGGCAGCAGUGGGGAAUAUUGCACAAUGGAGGAAACUCUGAUGCAGCAACGCCGCGUGGAGGAUGACACUUUUCGGAGCGUAAACUCCUUUUAUAUAGGAAGAUAAUGACGGUACUAUAUGAAUAAGCACCGGCUAACUCCGUGCCAGCAGCCGCGGUAAUACGGAGGGUGCAAGCGUUACUCGGAAUCACUGGGCGUAAAGAGCGUGUAGGCGGAUAAAUAAGUUGGGAGUGAAAUCCUAUGGCUCAACCAUAGAACUGCUUUCAAAACUGUUUAUCUAGAAUAUGGGAGAGGUAGAUGGAAUUUCUGGUGUAGGGGUAAAAUCCGUAGAGAUCAGAAGGAAUACCGAUUGCGAAGGCGAUCUACUGGAACAUUAUUGACGCUGAGACGCGAAAGCGUGGGGGAGC